rnacentral:rRNA from 1 species
CCGCACAAGCGGUGGAGCAUGUGGUUUAAUUCGAUGCAACGCGAAGAACCUUACCUACUCUUGACAUCCAGAGAACUUAGCAGAGAUGCUUUGGUGCCUUCGGGAACUCUGAGACAGGUGCUGCAUGGCUGUCGUCAGCUCGUGUUGUGAAAUGUUGGGUUAAGUCCCGCAACGAGCGCAACCCUUAUCCUUUGUUGCCAGCGAUUCGGUCGGGAACUCAAAGGAGACUGCCAGUGAUAAACUGGAGGAAGGUGGGGAUGACGUCAAGUCAUCAUGGCCCUUACGAGUAGGGCUACACACGUGCUACAAUGGCAUAUACAAAGAGAAGCGACCUCGCGAGAGCAAGCGGACCUCAUAAAGUAUGUCGUAGUCCGGAUUGGAGUCUGCAACUCGACUCCAUGAAGUCGGAAUCGCUAGU